CAUGUAAGAAUGCAUUUAAUUUUCAGUAAUUCAUUACAUAUUGUUGAAAAAAAAAAUGUAUUUAUUAUUUUGCUAUGAACCAUAAACCAAUCAUAAUUUUAGUAAACAUUAACAAUAAUAAUACAUAGAUAAUAAGAAAAAGUUUGAUUCUAACAAUUAUUAAUAAUUAAUAAUUAAUAGGGUAAAACAUGAAAAAAAUAAUAGGUAUAAUUCAGUUCACAACAAUAAUAGAAAUAAAAUAUUGAUUAAAAUAAUAAUAUCUUCCAUUAAAAUUCAUUUAAAACUAUUUUGUCAAAUCAUAAAGUCAACAUACAUUUUUUACAUUGUGGCAGUGGAGUAAAAAUAAAUAACUAAAUAUUUAGUUCAAUGGAUAUAAAUAAUAAUAAUAACAAUAAGUAAAAUAUUUAACUUACAAAAAAUACAACACAAUAUUUUUGUAAUAGAAAUACAAUAGAUAUGAAUAUAUAUAUAUAGAUAAUAGGUAGGUACAUAUAUAGAUAUAUAUAAUAAAUUUGUUUUUUAAUCUUAGAAUUCUAUAAAUAGGUUGAUACUUAGAUAAAUAAUUGUUUAAACAUACACCAAUUUAUUAAAGAUCAAACACCAAACAAAGCUGAGUAAGUUAAAACAUAAUUAUGUAAUGUCAUAAGUUUAAUACCGUUUCAUUUUAUAGAGAGUUUUACUUAAAUAUAUUAUUUUUAUAAUGCAUCCAUAUUAUGUAUAUUAUAGUUAGCUAAAAGCUUAGAGAAUACAAGCAUAAUAUAUAAAUUAACACUUUAAUAAUGUUUAUCUAUUCUAUUAACAACAUAAAAAUUAAUUGGAAAGUCAAAAAGAAGAGCCAUAUUUUUUGGAUAUUAAUUUUCUAAAUAUAUAAUAUUCUAAUAUUCUAAUUAAACAAAGUAUUUUAAUUUUUAAUAAAAAAUGUAUAUUAAUUGAUAAUUGAUAAAUAUUUGGAAUUUAAUAUCAAUAAAAUAUGAUAAUAUUAUAAUAAUAAAUUAC